rnacentral:rRNA from 1 species
UUGGAAGUAAAAGUCGUAACAAGGUUUUUAUAGCUGAACCUGCAGAAGGAUCAUUG